UUUCUGGUUGCUACAGUGAAGAUGAAAAUUACUGCUAUGAAUGUCUUGGGAUUUACCUGCUUGUAUAGACAGGUGUAAGCUCACAACCUGGGAUUUACCUGCUUGUAUAGACAGGUGUAAGCUCACAACCUGGGAUUUACCUGCUUGUAUAGACAGGUGUAAGCUCACAACCUGGGAUUUACCUGCUUGUAUAGACAGGUGUAAGCUCACAACCUGGGAUUUACCUGCUUGUAUAGACAGGUGUAAGCUCACAACCUGGUUAUUAAGAUAUUUUUAUGUCAAGACACUUCUAUAUAUGGAAAGUCUACAAUGUUAUUUUUGUCAACUUGAAAUAUCUUGGACAUAUUUGUACAGCUGGUGAUAAAUGUAUGUGUAUAAGAUAUUGCAGACAAUUUAUCAUUCAAAGUCGAAAUAAAAUUCAAGGAUUACAAGAAAUUUUUAAAGAACAAACUAAAUGAUUGUGUUAAUUCCAAAACGUUUCAAUAUUGACAAAUGAUGUUGAAUUUCUUCUCAUACUUUUAAUGAUAAGUAAAAUUAAUAUUGACUGACUUCCAUUGGGACAUCGUCAGGGUAACAGUAAAAUAAAUACUGACUGACAUCCAUUGGGACAUUGUCAGGGUAACAGAACACACACUGCUUAUAUAUGACGUGUGUUAUUCAGGGGACAUAACUUCCUUAUUGUGUUGUAAAUGUCCAGCAUGGUAUAUUAGGUUAGCAUGGUCUGUAACGUUUAGUCUAGCUCUGUGUUAUUUCCUUGUAAAUGAUACUUAAUUCUACUGGAUGUGUAUUUUGGAGUAAAUGAUAUGAUGUAUUCAAUAAAUCCUGGAUACAUAUGUCAGCCAAUGUUUGUUACAUUGAAAUUUCAAGUUGAUCAUGUGAAUAUCAGAUUCAACAUGGACUUGUGAAUAUUAGAACAAAGGCAUUAUACAAAUAGUUAAUCAUGUCUGAAAUCGUAAAACUGUAAUAAUAAUAUGUAGACUUAUUGCUCAAAUUAUAAGAACAAACAUUUUGGUUUUCUAUAUCAAAGAAAGGUAAUUUUUUUCGAAAAAAAUUAACGCUGUAAAAUUGUCACGAACAUUGUGAUAUUUUCCAUCCCAUGCAUAUCUGUUGCUAUGGCAAAUUUCCAGUCCCUCACCCCAGGGACAUCUCUUGUCCCAAACCCCAGGGACAUUUCUUGUUAUGUACAAACAUUGUUAGGACAUGCAUUGCUAAUUCCAGAAAUCUGUUAAUAGAUUUCUCAAUUCUAUAAGGAUAUUAUUAAAAUGUGAAUGCAUUUUCCUUUCCAAUAAAAACGUAUGCAAAAAC